rnacentral:tRNA from 1 species
GUGGUGCUAGUUGGUAAAGGCAGCACUCUAGUAUGUGUCUCAGCUUAGCUGAGGUCGUGAGUUCGAAUCUCACCAGACACA